rnacentral:SRP_RNA from 1 species
GCUGGGCAUGGUGGCGCAUGCCUGUAAUCCCAGCUACUCGGGAGGCUGAGGCACAAGAAUGGCUUGAACCCGGGAGGCAGAGGUUGCAGUGAGCCAAGAUCGCGCCACUGCACUCCAGCCUGAGUAACAGAGUAAGACUCUGUCUCAA